CAAUAGCGUAUAUUAAAGUUGUUGCAGUUAAAAAGCUCGUAGUUGGAUUUGUGGUGUACUUCGGCGGCCCGUCACUAUGUGAUGGAGCUUGCUGAAGUCGCCAUCCUUGGGUGGAUCCUGUGUGGCAUUAAGUUGUCGUGCAGGGGAUGCCCAUCGUUUACUGUGAAAAAUUAGAGUGUUCAAAGCAGGCUUAUGCCGUUGAAUAUAUUAGCAUGGAAUAAUAAGAUAGGACCUUGGUACUAUUUUGUUGGUUUGCGCACCAAGGUAAUGAUUAAUAGGGACAGUUGGGGGUAUUCGUAUUUCAUUGUCAGAGGUGAAAUUCUUGGAUUUUUGAAAGACGAACUACUGCGAAAGCAUUUACCAAGGAUGUUUUCAUUAAUCAAGAACGAAAGUUAGGGGAUCGAAGAUGAUCAGAUACCGU
rnacentral:rRNA from 1 species